rnacentral:lncRNA from 1 species
CCUGCUGUGACAGGCUCAGUUCUCUCGGAGAUGCUUCUGCCUCUGCUUCCCAGAGUCAGGCACAGCCCGGCCGCACUCAAGGUCACCAGGGGUCAGGACUGGAGCCCGGCCUUCCCGUGCCCCAGUGCUCUCGCCUCCCUCCUGGAAGGGGGACGUGUGGUGCUGAGGUUCUGCCCCAACUGCUUGCUGGCGUAGCUCAAGGGAGGACAGACUUGGCCUUGGUCCCGAGAGACACGGAGGAUGUGUCUCAGGGUCCUGGGGCCCGCGGCCACCCCCAGUGCCCCCACCACCUUCCAGAAGACUCCCCAGGGCGCAACCAGCCAGGAAGCACCCAGGACAGGCAAGGCAGGGCUGGAACUGCUGCCCAGCCUGUCGGCAGCAGGGGCCCCUCGGAGGCUGAGGUGGGAGGGCUGGGCCAGGCCCCUCCCGGCACUCGGCCUGAGAGGGGAAGGCGGGAGGCAGCAGGUGCUGUGGCCACACAGGCUGCUGCAGCUGCCUCCUGCUGUCCCAGGGCAGGGGACACCGAGGCCUGGGCCGGGCCCUGUCCCCAGCAGCAGCACCUCCUCACAGAGCACCCGACACUGUGGUCACCUCGCGUGUAAACCUCUCCAGGCUCCAUUGCUCCCAGGGUGAGGCCAGGCUCCCCAGCCGUGGCCCUGCCCGGUGUCCAGGUGACCUGGGACAAGGUGGCUUUGCACACGCUGCUCUGUCUCUGUCCCCUGCACCCUUCCCUCCUCCCCCGCCUCGUUUCUACCUGGAGCAGGUGGGCUCUGCUCCUCCCCUUCACCUGGGUGCAGGUGGAUCCUUCAAACCUCACCUCCCAGCUCCCUGGAUGCCCAGAGGGGACCGAGGGACAAGCCCCCCACACCUGUCUGUCUGUCUCUCUCCUCCCUCCCUCCUUCCCCACCUCAGGCAGCGUCUGCUUGGUGAAUCCUCAUGUCUGUGGUCCCAGCUUAGGAGCCGGCUCCUCUUCCUCUGUCCAGCCCACCCAGGGCGGCAGCAGCUUUGUGUCAUUCUUUCACCUUUUCAUCCUAGGCACUGAAUCCAGGACCUUUGCACUGAGUUACAUCUACAGCCCUUUUUUAUUUGGAGACAGGGUCUCAUGAGUCACUAAGUUGCCCAGGCUGGGCUUGAGUCAGUGAUCCUCCUGCCUCAGCCUCCCAGAGUGCUGGGAUCACAGGUGACUGAGUACACUGCUCAGAGAAGCUCCCCAUUCAUUCAUUGCACUGAGAUUCUUCAGCGUCUGGUGGCACCAGAUGGGCAGAUGGUGGCGGCCGGGAGUGAGGAUGACGGGCCAGCUGGUGCGGCGAGGGCAUCUACAGUUCCACCUGUUAGGGAGGCUGUAGCAGGAGCAUCACUCGAGCUCAGGAGUCUCAAGCCAGCCUGGAUAACAGACUAAGAG